rnacentral:misc_RNA from 1 species
UUUCCGUAGGUGAACCUGCGGAAGGAUCAUUAAAAAAUAGUCCCAAUUAAUAAGUGAAAUUAGCCAUUGAUUUGUUGGGUAUCGUCCAACGUUAAACUUUUUAUUUUAAAUUACAGGAUAGAAUAUAAUAAUUGUAAAACUUUUAGCAACGGAUCUCUAGGUUCUC